CCUGAUCCGUGAGCCUGAGGUCCUUCACCUUUGCACUGCGGCUCGCUGACUGCAGAGGGUCCGAAGUCAGGGCGGCGGAGGACGGCGGGUGCCACCCACCGCCCCUACACAGGACGUCCUGACGUCCAGGGAAGUCGGAAAGCUCAUGCGGCGCACAGGAUGCAGCACCACGGACUUCAAAGGGCUCUGGCCUGGAAAUGCCUGGAUGGACUAGUAAGACCGCUUUUUGCUGCUCUUUCAAACAUGGUUCUGUGGAAAUUAUGAAGGUCGCAGGUGGGAGAUGACUGCAGGCUGACGCCAUGGGGUGUGCGCCGUCCCACAGCGACAUUGUGAACAGCGUGGCUAAGAGCAGCAUCCAGUUUUUUAAAAAGCCCAAAGCAGUUCUGCCAGGGGCAGGUCAGGGGGACAGGGAAACAUGUUCCGUCCCUUUGCUGGUUCAAAGCUCCACCUGCUAUGACUCUGGGGGGGACUUGUCCCAGGGACAAAAGCCAACAGAGGUGCAGCCGGGUCCCAGAUGGACCCAAACCAUGGCUGAAGAUACCACUGCAGGCAAAAAGAAAGAUCUGGAAGGACUGAUCUCAGAAUCCAAAACUUCCCCAUCCCAGCUGAACAAAUCCCAAAGCCACAUGGCUAGGGACAUUCCAUUCAAGACACAGAGCUCCCACGAGUCACAGGGGGCAGCCUUUUCUGAGGAAGAAAAAGCAGAAAGUGUUACCCAUGAGACCUCCCUAUGGGAGGGGGAGCCAAAAUGCCACAGGUCGGGGCAGCAGGGUCUUGGUUGCCAGGCCACCCCCCUUGCUCAGGGGUCCGAAGGCAAAGUGGACUUUCCUGAGCCCCUGGUGAUGGCCCACCAGCACACUUACACCUAUCUGCACUCCUGCCUCUCCAAGUACGAAGCCGUUCUGAGCCUCACCCGUCAGGCCACACAGACGCAGGAGCUGCUGCAGCCCAUGGUGAGCUUCCUGCUGCUGUGCUGCGAUGAGGCCAACCAGCUCUUGGGGGAGAUCUCCAAGGACGGAGAAGUGCUCCUCCGGGAGGUUAGGGGGGAUCUGGCUUGGCCGUGGAAGAAAGGGGAGCCCCGGGAGCAGCCAGAUCUCCUGCCGCAGCUUCUGCAGUACACAGUCAGCAGGCUGCAGGGGCUCGGCGGCGCGGUGGCCUCGCUCACCAGCGGCUUCCUGGAGGGCUCCGGCAGCUACCUGCAAGCCGCUGCAAGCCACUUGGGAAGCACGCUGAGCACGAAGAAGGGGGUGGAUGCGCACCUCCUGCAGGCUCUGGGGCAGCUGGAGAGCUUGGCGAGCGGCCACAGUGGCCCUGGGGUGCAGGGUCUACCCUUGUGCUCUGAGGACAGUGGCAUCGGUGCGGACAGUGAGUCUGUGCACCUGGUGGACAAGCUGGGCAAGCAAGCCAGCUGGGACUUGACGCCGGAGCCUGCAGACUGGAAGCCGGGGACUUCACCCCCAGGGGAGGCCAGGCUGUUGGGACGUACCUGGCAGCAGAGCCCAGUCUGGAUGGGCUCGGACAGACCCCAGGACUGCCCACUCUCAAGGCCUCUUCUGGCAAAGGUUCGGCCAGCAGCAGAGGGUGGAGCAAGGGCUCUAGGCCUCUCCUGCCCAGGCCCAGAAAAUGCUGUCUCCAGGCCUCUGGGGGUAGGCAAAAGCAAUCCCUGCGAGUCCUCUGGGGCCAGGACCUCGGUGGAAGCACACCUUUCUAAAGGCUCUGGGUCACUGGGUGCUCCACCCUCCAGCGAAGAGGAAGGCGGGAGCACAGAGGAGGAGGAAGACGAUUUCCAUGCAAGGCCUCGGUCUUCUCCUCCUGGCCCAUUUCAGCCGUACCCCAGGGGGCUUAGGAGCCUCCAAGCUCAGGAAAUGAUUCUGAAGAUGAAGGAAGCAAUCAGUGAAAGGAUCAAGUUUGUCCCUGUGUCCGCUGGGCACCAGGAUUGGGCUGAGGAGGAGGAGAGGACAGUGGUCCCACCAAGACCUAGCACGGUCAGUGGAAGCCGGAGAGCCCCUGUGAGACAGAGGAGGUCCCAGUCAGAGGGGUGUCUUAAGGGCCACGCGGAGGAGCCCACCCUCCAGGAGCUGCAGCGGGUCCAGAGAGACCUCAGCCAGAGGCUGGAGGCGUUCUCCUCCCUGGGCACCCGACGGCAGGAGCUGCGCAGGGAGCAGGUUCCGCAGCCCAGAGCAGCUUCUCUGAAGCCCGGCGGCCACCGCAGGGCCACCCCGAGCAGCCCCAUCAGCAAGCUGAAGGCAUCUCUGACCAAGAACUUCAGCAUUUUGCCAAGUCAGGACAAGAGCAUUUUGCAGAACUGCAGUCCCCGCCCUGAGGGGGAAUGGCCCUGGCAGAGGGGAGCUGAGGGGUUUCCAAAUGCCACCCCAUCAGGACAGAGGGCCAGGGAGGCUCCCAGGGCUGAGGACUGGGAUGUCAGGGGCCACCCCCCCAGGACAUCAGUCAAGAAACUCAUUGAAACUUUCAGUUCCAGUGAGAAUCUGCAGACACUGGCAGGGUCCAAAGACUCUGGGCCAAGCCCCUGCCUCAAGAAGUGGGGGGUCCCCAUGAUGCCCCCCAGAUUUCCCAUUUACAGGGGGCUUGCCCCUUUGUAUCCAAAGCCCCGAAUUUCUCCUGCGGUAUACAGAGGGGGUCUCAGGGGGGGCCCAGGCUGCAGGCCCGGAGCCCCUGCCUCUCCCCCUCUGCAGGCAGCGGCCACGAGCGAGGAGCUCCACGGCAAAACACGGGGGGAGGACCCAGCGCACCUCCCUCCGCCACCUCUGGAAGUCCUGAUGGACACAUCAUUCACCGCUCUGGAGCCCCCUGAAGGCAGCGAGCCAGCAGGGAGCUCUCCUGAUGGGACCCACGUGCCAGGGCUGGCAGGGGCUGGCCCUGCUGGGGGAACAUGGAUGUCCCCAAAGCUAAGAGCCUCUGUGAGCCCCACUGACCUGCUGCCCAGCAGGAGCACUGCCACCCCCACCGGGCCCUGCAGCGCAGGGCCGGGGAGCAGCCAGAGCGGCUGCAGGCCUGGAAAGCUGGCCUUGGACCUCAACCACCCCCCGGCAAUGAGCCCCAACCCAGAGGAGGAGGCCAGGGAGGCUCAGAGCCGGGCACACGUGGCCAGACCCGCAAGCCUCUCCAGGCAGCCCCGGAGGGCAGGUACCAGGCACCACCCCAGCCACAUCUCUGGGCAGCACAGGGCCUUGGAGUCCAGCCUGCCCAGAUCAACUCGGGGGCCACACUCGUCUGAGGCCGCAAGGAAGAGCCAAGAGAGAAGCUCAGCGCUGGUCAGGAUGGCCUCUCCUGCGAGGGUGCCCAGAGCAGACAAGAGGCACCCGAGCCUGCCCUCCUCUCACAGACCUGCUCAGCCAAGCGUCCCCUCUGUGCAUGGGUCCCCCAGCCCAACAGUCAGCCCUCUGGCGAGCCCCCGGGCACUGAGCCCCCCAACAAUAAUGAAAGGGGCAUCCCCACCACCCCAGCACGACCUGCCCAGCCCUCCCGCUGAGAGCUCACUCGCUCAGCACAAGAUCCCCAACCCCCCUACCCAGUGCACAGAAGCAAGCUCCCCUGCCUCUGGCCCCUGCCCAUCCCCUCCGCUGUCCCCCACACAGGGACAAAAGGAAGCAAGAGAGUCUGAGAAUAGGUGGGCAGCCACAGCCAAAGCAUCUCGGAACACACGGGCCCUUUUCUGCCCAGCCACCUCCUCUCUGUUUGAAGCCAAAUCUCCAUUCUCAACAGCCCACCCGGUCACCCCAUUCCUGCCACCUGAAGCUGGGGGUCCUCGGGGGACCCCCACAGGGUGCUGGAGAGGCAGCUCAGAGCCACGGCCAAGGUGGGGCUCGCAGCGGGGAAUGGCUCUGUGUGCCCUCAACCCUCAGCCCUUCGUCAGACGGACCGCUUCUGACCGCCAGCCAGGCGUCCGCCUUCAGCUGCCCGUCCCAGGUGCCACCGGCAACGCUCGUGAACCCCAGCUGGGCCAGAGCAGCAGCGGCAGUGAGGCAAGCCCCAAGAGGGACGCAGAGUCGUGGAGCAGCAGCCCCUGCGCCCUGGAACUGAAGGGCAGCGGCAGGGCCGCGUCUGCCCCGGAACUCUGCGUGCUGGGCCACGGGCUGCAGCGGGACACCAGCGCCGGCCGCACCCAGGACAAGUCCCAGCAGAAGGAACUGGCCUGACCGGCUAAGCAUGACCGCCAAGUGUCAGGCUGCCCUGAGGAUGGCGGGCCAACCACCCUCCUCCUAAGGGGUCCUGGAAGGGCCUGGACGGUGCACUGCCCAGCAGGUUAAAUACGGGCACAGCACGCCAGUCCCCAAGAUGAGCUUUGCUUAGAAGCUGGUUGCUGCAGCAAUGAAAGCCCACCCACUUUCCUGCUUCUCCUCCUUCCGCAGCUGAGCACCACAGCCCAAAAGGCAAAGUUCCCAGCCCACUCAAGCAGCCACGUCGCCGCUCAAGCUGAGUGCAUCUCACAUGCCCUGCCCUACGCGUCCACAUGCCUUUCAGACUGAGUGGGCGCAGCCAAGCCUCCCAAACAAGGCAGCCGAUUCUCCAAGCGCCUUGGGGGCUGGGGCUCAGAGGGUGUGUGGGUAAGGUCCCUUGUACACGGGCCAUCUCCCCCAGAGGCUUCUGAGCCACGCUUAUCUGGGUCACCUGCAGAACUUCUGCUGGAGUUGAAAUUCAAGUGAAGAACGGUCAUUUGUGCCAAAAAAAAAAAAAUUGCUUCUGCCAACAAUCUAGAUAUUUGCUGUAGAUCUGGAAGUUUUCCAUUGGAGGCUGUGGAGCACUUUCUAUUUAGAAAAGAAUUUGCAGUAAUCGGGUGAUUCAAUGGGUUGUCACAAGACGAGAAUUCUCCCUCAUGGGCUAGAACUAAGAGGCAACCCUCCAGAUGCUACAAAACUGAUUUUUUUCAGUUUGCGAAAAUUAUAGACAUCAGGUCCUUUUUUGUGAAAUAGGUCCUGACUCAAGAGCACAUUAAACUGGGUCCUGGGGCCUAAGCAGCCUCCUCCGGGGCAGGCAUGAGUCCAAGGGAAUGAAUCCCACCUCGAUGUGUCCAGUUAUUAAAGUAGGGGCAACAGGGACCACUCUUCAAAGGCACCCAAGGAAGAGAGACUGAACUACCGGGAGGGGCCAUGACUUACCCCCGCUGGGGAGU